UGUGGGAGCGGGCUUGCUCGCGAUGCAGACACCCCGGUGCCUCAAGACAAAGCGGGUUGAUGCCAUCGCGAGCAAGCCCGCUCCCACA
rnacentral:misc_RNA from 1 species